rnacentral:rRNA from 1 species
GACGAACGCUGGCGGCGUGCUUAACACAUGCAAGUCGAACGGAAAGGCCCUGCUUUUGUGGGGUGCUCGAGUGGCGAACGGGUGAGUAACACGUGAGUAACCUGCCCUUGACUUUGGGAUAACUUCAGGAAACUGGGGCUAAUACCGGAUAGGAGCUCCUGCUGCAUGGUGGGGGUUGGAAAGUUUCGGCGGUUGGGGAUGGACUCGCGGCUUAUCAGCUUGUUGGUGGGGUAGUGGCUUACCAAGGCUUUGACGGGUAGCCGGCCUGAGAGGGUGACCGGCCACAAUGGGACUGAGAUACGGCCCAGACUCCUACGGGAGGCAGCAGGGGGGAAUAUUGCACAAUGGGCGGAAGCCUGAUGAAGAAACGCCGCGUGCGGGAUGACGGCCUUCGGGUUGUAAACCGCUUUCGCCUGUGACGAAGCGUGAGUGACGGUAAUGGGUAAAGAAGCACCGGCUAACUACGUG